rnacentral:rRNA from 1 species
AGACCCCUGAAAGACUAUCAGGUUGAUAGGCCUAAGGUGUAAGUGCAGUGAUGUAUUUAGCCAGCAGGUACUAAUCGGUCGAGGGCUUGACCU